ACAGUCGACCUCUGGAGUGGCGGGCAGCAGAGGAAAAGCCGUCCCUUUCAGGUGCGUGCAGCCGUAGACAAACCCCGGAACAGAACUAACCAGUUUUCUAUGGCGUCAGCUAUCUUCCUGUUGUCUGGGCAGAACUUGUUUUUUUCCAUCUGCUCUUGGCGGCGGUGUUAGUCAGUUAAGCUCCUCAAGAAGACAGAGGCUGAAUUUGUAAAGGGCUUGGUUUACAUGUACCCUGACCCCCCUCCUCUGCCUCCUCCUCCCAUUUUCCCCCACAGGUGUAAUUUUCAGGUGGCAACCAAUGUCCUUAGCCUCUGGCACUCACAGGUGUGUCCCCCGCUCUGUCUUCAGCCAAUGGCAGUGAAGACCAAACCCAAAGCCUCAAAGCCCUCCCACCACGACUCCCACCCCAACGGUCCACUUACCUCCACCUCCUUGUCGGCCCCAAGGUACCUUGUUGUGUGUUUUUUUUUUAUGAUGUCAACCCAGGCUUCUGUGGGAACAACCUUGUCUGUUCCUUUUACUACUCAGACAACAGGUAAACCUCCAUCAUCCUCGAACGUCAAACACACCACUCUGUCAAAGAAGAGAACAUAAAUCAUCAAGCCCAAAAUGACAAAAAAAAAAACUUGGUGAAAUAAAACAUGUGUCUGUAGGUUAUUAUCAGUUGAAUGAACCUUUACCUGCUUCUCGACUAUAACCUGAAAUACCUGCCCUCUCUUUAAUACCAUCCCUCUCUUUGUGUUCACACACCUUUUUGUGCACUGACAAUAGUCAGACAGAGUUACAGGCAGAGCGACAGGUGAACAAGUGCGGGUGAGUAAAACUUAGGAAAGAUACACCAACAGUUUGAGGUCAGGCAGUGUAGGAAGGGGGAGGGGAGGGUAGCAACCAGGGGGUUAGUGGGGCUUCUGGACCCUGAGGGGCAACAGUCCCAGCCCUGGACAGGACUUUGGGUGGAUACUGGGUAAGGCAGCGACUCUCGGUCUUGAGGUGUAAUUGUCGGGAUUAGUCUUUCAACAAUGAGCACAAUGCUGGAGCUGUAUCCUGUUUCAGCAGGGGCGUGGCACACGGUGCAGCACGACUACACUGGCAAAAAUGGACGAGAGUUUCUGAGGUUUUUAGUCACAAAAUACACACAAUUCUGUUAGUUAUUUGUCUUAAAUCGUUAAACUACAAUAUAUUUGACGCCCAAUCUAAACAUCUUUUCCUUUAACUUUCAAAAAAUUGUGAAUACUAUUUCUUGUUAAGCAUCAACGUAAACUGCUCUGGAGAUAAUGUUCUGAUUAAGUUAAUUAAUGGAGGAACUUUCUAGUUUUACAUUAGAAAAAAUUUUCACAGUGACAGUUUCUUCUGUCCUCCUUACACAAACACAAAAAUGUAAUAUUACAUUCAAUAUUAAAUAUAGCCUACAUUUGCUUUUUUGCAGUUAAUUUUUAGCCUAAAUGAAGCUCAGCCUCUGCCCUCUUCACAGUUGGUAAAUCGUUGGGUCUGUGGUGGUUGCCUUGUUUAGGCCCUUCCAUUUGCAUACCAAAUGAGAUCUGGACCGAGGCACAGGGCCUGACCUGAACUCAUUUGGGUACUGAUGGUUAUCUGACCAACAGGUCACGCAAAGCAGGAUGAAGACAUAAGUUGCUAAAUUUAUCCGUUCUGUCCAAACUAUUGCUAAAAGUCCGUGUUUUUCUUUUCAACAUAUUGAACGAUCACAACACGGUGGAUUUCCUAAUUAUCUAAACCUAUGAUUAGCCUUUAUUAAUGCUGAUAUUAACUGGAAUGAAAAAAUAUACCUACUUUUAUGGAGUGGUUCUCUAUGUUCACCAGGUCACAGUGAUAGAAGCCAUGCUAUUCAAACAUAAUCACACGUUUAUAUACAACUGGCCUACAAUUAUAUAAUUAUAUAUUAAUAUCAAUGUCUGAAGACUUCUUUGUUAAGUUAUUAUUAAAAUAAUUAGACAUGGAGAAGUCAUUCUCAUUCUUCAUUUUAGAGAUCAGGAUGUAUAAAUUGUGCUUCUAGCACCUGCAGAGGACAAGAUGACUCAUUUAUUCAUCUCCUACAUUGUAAUCCUUUUCAUUGGCUGGAGCCAAUCUCACCAGUCAGUGACGAGGGCAGGGAACACCCUAGUCAGUUGGCCAGUCCAUCUCAGGGCUGACACACGUGAAUCUUGGUUAAUAAAAUCUCUGCAUACGUCAAACCAUUAAACAUGUUUUGUUUGUUUUUGGACACAUUUAACUCUAUUAUAUUAUUUUAUAUUUUCUUCCCAUCAGGCAGUAUUAGGUGUAAAUAUAAUGAUUUUCAGGUACAGUAUAAAAUCUUCACUGAGUCAGCUACUGACACUGAGCCAACUGAAUUGUAUCGACCAUAGCCAAUGUGUGAGGUGUUACAGGAUGAGCACUGACAGAUGACGUGUACAGUCCUGCUCACCGUAGGAACAGUUAGUGUCCUUAUCCAAUUCACAUACAACUCAACAGGUUUCUAUCCGUUUGUCUUUAUCGUUUGUCUUUACUUUGACAGCAGUCGUGUGGGUCACAGUCUGGAUCCAUGAUGUUACUUAUAAACUGGAAAGAGUUUUGGACUAGGAGUGUUUGUCAAAGCUGCACUGAUCUGCACUAUCUGGGCUUCCUGUAAAUGUGGCCGUGCAGUGUUUGCCCUCAGGUCUUUGACUGAAGGAAUGACGAGUCAUGUUCUUAUGACACUGGGCCAAGAGGAAGUCACAACAAACACGUGAGGUGACGUCGAGCCCGUAUUGGAUCCAAGCUACAUAGCAGUGACGUGGAUCUCAAGUCUUAGAUCCCUGGGUGGGACCAUUGUUUCUGUUCCAGAUCUGGAGGAUUUAAUCUAAAGCGACUCCAGCCUCGUUUCUCUUCACAAAGCCACAGAAUCAUCAAGGGAGCCGCGUUCACACAAGCAGUCCAGGAGCCACAGCCGUGCUCUGACUUGCCGCCUGCACCAGUGCUGGGUAAUUGGCCCCUAAAGGACUUAGAGCGGGAUGGUGUGCAUGGAUGGCGCAGUUGUAUCCGAUAAUCUCCAACAGGGUAUGUUGCCAUAGAGAAACUGAGUGAGGCAUACCAAUUAUUAGUGCAUCUUAUUCCACAACACACCUGUUUGGCUCAUCUGCUGGGCUGGAGCCAAGCCACUGCUGUGAUGAGUUUGACUUCAGAGGAGAGCGACAAGAUCAAUGCAGCAACAGUCUGUCAUACAAUACUUUUAUCUGGUAACCUCACAAGUUUUUGGGGAUAUUUUUCUGUGAUGAUUUUCUUGCGAUUAAUAAAUUACAUCUAACAGCAACAACAGAAUCAUCACAGUUAUCCUGUGGUUGAAGGGCCUCAUGUACAAACUGAUAUUACACAUCAGAGAAAACUACAAUUUCUACAAUCUACAAAAAGACAAAAAGAUGAAAAUACAACAGUCAAGGCUGCAUUUCAGCAGGUAUUGAGCAAGUAUAUAACCUGUAAUCCUAUAAUCUCUACACAUACAGUAUUAUAAAUGAAUUUGUGUUUAGUUUAUUUAUAGGGGGGCAGUGCAAUUUCAUAAAACACAUGAUUACACAUGGUUAAAAAGCCAAAACUAGCCAGAAGGCUAGUUUUCAUCUGUAGUAGUGUGACAUAAUGAUCUACGGUUUAUUGGUUAAUAAAAAGACGGUACUUGUGAUGGUUGAUCACGGUGAUUGUGGUUGUAGCAGACGUCAAAAACAACAGUGGACGUAAAAUAUAAGUAGUGCUAGAGUAGAUACAGUACUAGAGUAGAACUAGAUAAGUAAUACCACAUUUUGACAGAUACUUGGGCGGACUGAGAGAGAAGGAAACAAAGUGAACACAGAGGGCUGGGGUAAAGUUAAUGAUUUGAUAACUGGUCAUAAAGUAGAGUACAUUACCUAACCUACCACUUAGUCCAACCCACAUCACCAAUCUUAAUCCUCGACCUAAUUCAAAACUGACCCUUGUUCUAAUCCUAACUCUUGCUCGCUUUUUCUAAGACAGAGCAUUGACUAACAUUAGUUAGAACAGCCUAAUCUAACCCUGCUAGGUUUAAGUCCUCAACAUCAACACCUGUCUUUCAACAAUCAGUAACAAUUCCACCACAAAAAGUGGCAUAUAAAAAUAUAAAAGCAUAUUCAGCUGCCGAUCUAUACACAGUGUACUUCUUACAUCGUCUACUCAAACUUAACAACACAAUCAAAUACUAAAUACUAUCCUUGAAUUUUCUAGUAUUCCUAAAAAUACCCUGGUAGUUAAUGAGGAAGUGUAUUAUUUCUCACAGGAUGAAAAUGUCCCCACAAUUAUAGUUUGGUACAAAAACCCAGUCCUCAGACCCCAAAGUGACCCUUACCUGCCAAUGAUCUACAAACUAUUGUUGGGUAACUGAGCUGUUUCCCUCCUUACGUCUUGUACACAAACAGUAACACACACACACUCUCACACACACACACACACACACGCACACACACAC